UGCAUGGUGGCAAUUUAUAGAAUUCAUCAACCUUAUUAAGACAUUCAAAACUAAUUUUUAAUUACAUUUCUGACAUGACAUGUUUUUGCAAAUGCCAAAGAUUUAGCAAAUCUUGAAGAGGGAGAGGAAGAUGAGGAAGUGGGCUCAGGAGGCCACCUGCAGGCCCUACAGGAGGUGAACGCAGGCAGGCAGCCAUGCAGUUUGGGGUCCUGAAGUCCAGCCUGAGUGACUGAGUCCCUGGUCAGAGGACACUCCUCACCCCAGAGUUGGUCUGGGCGGCACAGAGGGAGGGGGUCAUUCUCUUGUGCCUUUGGAUGUGACUCUCAAUCCUUACAUCACCCAUCCCCUGGUAACAUCAGGCCGGAUUUCAGUUGACCUGCUACACCCCCUCUGGUGCCUCCCACGGUCCCCGGCUGCCUGCUGAGGGACACCGCCACCUUCCCCCAUCUCCUGGUCAGCACACACCUAUUUUACAUUUGGAUUCACACAUAAAUCUGAAUGUAUUAACUAUUGUGACGCAUAUACAUUAUUAUGAGUAUGUAUUUUAGUGUUUUUAUAAUAAAAUAUGAUUAUUAUUUUACAGCCUUCAGCAUCGGCAGCGGGAGGUGGCCUCCUUUCCCUCCCACUUUAAAUGCUUUAUGUAACCUGAAAAAAAAAAAUUAUAACAUGAUGGUGACAUUAGUCAUGAUGAAGACUAAACAAAACAUGGUUAUGCUUUUUCUGUUAUUCAUAAAGCCUCCAAACCUGCAGAGAUGAGGCCGUCAUCAUCCAGCUCCCCGUCUGCUGGACUAAUCCACCGUAGUGUACUUAAUGGUCACACUCCUGAAGACAUGGAGACAGUUUGGGUGUGUUGCCGGUGCAGAACCCGACCCGCCCGAGAGCUGGGAGCGGUGUGGUGGGUCCAGUGUGGCCUGGGACGAGCAGCUGGAUGAGGAGGACGACUUUUUUAAAUGUUAUUUGUGUCCAGAUUAAUGUUUUAAUUAUUUUGUGUUUCUUUUGUAUUUAAAUAAAUGGUUAUCAUCUUUUCAA